rnacentral:rRNA from 1 species
AAUAGAUACCCAGGUAGUCCACGCCGUAAACGAUGGAUGCUAGCUGUUAUGAGUAUCGACCCUCGUAGUAGCGAAGCUAACGCGUUAAGCAUCCCGCCUGUGGAGUAUGAGCGCAAGCUUAAAACAUAAAGGAAUUGACGGGGACCCGCACAAGCGGUGGAGCGUGUUGUUUAAUUCGAUGAUAAGCGAAGAACCUUACCAAGGCUUGACAUCCCUGGAAUCUUUUCGAAAGAAGAGAGUGCCUUCGGGAAUCAGGUGACAGGUGAUGCAUGGCCGUCGUCAGCUCGUGUCGUGAGAUGUUUGGUUAAGUCCAUUAACGAGCGCAACCCUUGUAAAUAGUUAAAUUUUUCUAUUUAGACUGCCUCGGUAACGGGGAGGAAGGAGGGGAUGAUGUCAGGUCAGUAUUUCCCUUAUGCCUUGGGCCACAAACACGCUACAAUGGCCGGUACAAAGGGCAGCAAACCCGCGAGGGGGAGCAAAUCCCAUCAAAACCGGUCUCAGUUCGGAUAGCAGGCUGAAACUCGCCUGCUUGAAGUCGGAAUCG